rnacentral:rRNA from 1 species
AGUCAAUAGAUACCCUGGUAGUCCAUGCUGUAAACGAUGAAUGCUAGGUGUGGGGUGUCAAAAAGCUCCGUGCCGCAGUAAACACAAUAAGCAUUCCACCUGGGGAGUACGACCGCAAGGUUGAAACUCAAAGGAAUUGACGGGGGCCCGCACAAGCAGUGGAGCAUGUGGUUUAAUUCGAAGCAACGCGAAGAACCUUACCAGGGCUUGACAUCCAGCGAAUUCUUUAGAGAUAGAGAAGUGCCUGCUUGCAGGAACGCUGAGACAGGUGGUGCAUGGUUGUCGUCAGCUCGUGUCGUGAGAUGUUGGGUUAAGUCCCGCAACGAGCGCAACCCCUAUGUUUAGUUGCCAUCAUUAAGUUGGGCACUCUAGAUAAACUGCCGUAGACAAUACGGAGGAAGGCGGGGAUGACGUCAAAUCAUCAUGCCCCUUAUGUCCUGGGCUACACACGUGCUACAAUGGCUACUACAAAGGGAAGCGAAACUGCGAAGUUGAGCAAACCUCAAAAAACGUAAGU